rnacentral:rRNA from 1 species
AUGAAUGAACCACCGGGAGCUCGUAUGAGAGUUGGUUUAACUACCCUAACUAUGGUAUAAUAUUUCUGAGAUGUUAAUAACCAAGACGUGCUUUGAUUUAUCGAUAAUAUCUUUCAUUUUGUUCAAGUACGAUCAGAGGUAUCCGCUUUAUUAGGGAGAAUACCCUCCGUAGUGGGUUAUCAACCUACUCUUAGUACAGAAAUGGGUUCGAGUCAACUUUCUUGGGUUGAUCGAGAUGGGGAGAGAGAGACAUAUAGUCCACUUAACUUCCAUAUUAUGUUUCAGAUAGUUUGCUGGCUUAACUUCCAACACGAACAUAGUCUCGUGUCAUCAAAUACAAAUCGCCAGAGAAAGCUAUGCGCAAUGAUCAAUUCCAAGGCAAAUCGAAACACGGUAUGA